rnacentral:tRNA from 1 species
GCCCAGAUGGCGGAAUAGGUAGACGCGCUGGUCUCAAACANNGGUUCGAGCCCGGGUCUGGGUACCA